rnacentral:sRNA from 1 species
GCUAGACACAGUGGCGCAUGCCUGUAAUCCCAACAGCUCUGGAGGCUGAGGCAGGAGGAUUGCAAGUUUGAGGCCAGCCUGGGUUACGUAGCAAGACCCUAUCUCAA